UACGAAGGGGGCUAGCGUUGUUCGGAAUUACUGGGCGUAAAGCGCGUGCAGGCGGCUUCUCAAGUCAGGGGUGAAAGCCCAGAGCUCAACUCUGGAAUUGCCCUUGAGACUGAGAGGCUUGAGUACGGGAGAGGUGAGUGGAAUUCCCAGUGUAGAGGUGAAAUGCGUAGAUAUUGGGAAGAACACCGGUGGCGAAGGCGGCUCACAGGCCCGUUACUGACGCUCAGGCGCGACAGCGUGGGGAUCAAACAGG
rnacentral:rRNA from 1 species